GACGAACGCUGGCGGCGUGCCUAACACAUGCAAGUUGAGCGACGAACCAGGGCUUGCCCUGGGGCAAAGCAGCGAACGGGUGAGUAACACGUGGGUAACCUACCCCGAUAACCGGGACAACCCGAGGAAACUCGGGUUAAUACCGGAUGUGCUCACUGGACUUCGGUUCAGUGCGUAAAGGAAGCUUCGGCCUCCGUAUCGGGAGGGGCCCGCGGCCCAUUAGUUUGUUGGUGAGGUAACGGCUCACCAAGACCGCGAUGGGUAGCUGGUCUGAGAGGACGAUCAGCCACACUGGGACUGAGACACGGCCCAGACUCCUACGGGAGGCAGCAGUGGGGAAUCGUGCGCAACGCGCGAAAGCGUGACGCAGCAACGCCGCGUGGGGGAAGAAGGCCUUCGGGUUGUAAACCCCUUUCAGGAGGGACGAAGGUUCGGCGGUGAAUAGCCGUCCGGACUGACGGUACCUCCACAAGAAGCCCCGGCUAACUACGUG
rnacentral:rRNA from 1 species